rnacentral:rRNA from 1 species
UACGUAGGGUGCGAGCGUUAAUCGGAAUUACUGGGCGUAAAGCGUGCGCAGGCGGUUUUGUAAGCCAGAUGUGAAAUCCCCGGGCUUAACCUGGGAAUGGCAUUUGGGACUGCAAGGCUUGAGGCCGGGAGGGGGUAGCGGAAUUCCCAGUGUAGCGGUGAAAUGCGUAGAUAUUGGGAGGAACACCAGUGGCGAAGGCGGCUACCUGGACCGGUUCUGACGCUGAUGCGCGAAAGCGUGGGUAGCAAACAGG